rfam:Archaeoglobus veneficus SNP6, complete genome.
GCCGCCGUAGCUUAGCUGGUAGAGCGUCGGCCUGUUAAGCCGAUGGUCGCAGGUUCGAAUCCUGCCGGCGGCG